rnacentral:tRNA from 1 species
GGGGGUAGCUCAGUGGUAGAGUGCCUGCCUAGCAUGUACAAGGUCCUGGGUUCAAUCCCCAGUACCUCCA